rnacentral:rRNA from 1 species
GACCACCAGUUCGGUUUCAGGCAAGGACAUGGCGCUAUUCAGCAGUGCCACCGGGUCGUCUCCAGGGUCUUGGAUGCCUUCGAAAACAAGAAAUAUUGCGCAGCAGUCUUUCUGGAUAUAAGGCAGGCUUUCGACAGGGUGUGGCACCUCGGCCUGCUAUUCAAGCUGAAGCAACAGUUACCGACCCCAUACUACAUGUUCCUUAAGGCAUACAUCGAAGAGAAGAGGUUUUACGUGAGGAGCAGUAACUGCAAAUCAGCCCAACACGUGGUGAGAGCCGGAGUACCCCAGGGCAGCGUACUCGGUCCUGUGCUGUACAACAUAUUCACCUCAGAUAUGCCAGUAUCUGAAGACAACAGAAUAUUGACAUGCACCUACGCGGACGACACAGUGCUCCUGGGCUCUGACGCAACUCCUGCUUUGGCAGCGCAAGGGCUGCAACACGAGCUGGACACGAUUCAGUCAUGGCUGAAAAGGUGGAACAUCACCAUAAACGCUGACAAAUCCACCUACGUCAUGUUUACACUCAGACCAGGCAACUGUCCACCCGUCCACAUCACCAACAUACCGUCCAAUGCGAAGGCCAAGUCCCUGGGACUAACCCUGGACAAGCGUCUCACAUGAAAGGACCACAUAGGGGAAAAAGUAAAACUCAUGAGGCACAAAUUCAUUCUAAGAUUUAUCCUCAACUGUCCGUACUACGUGAGGAACACAACAAUCAAAAGGGACCUCAAAAUGCAAAGUGUCGCCGAGGAAUCCAGGAAAGCUAGCAGGAGGCACCUGGAGAAGCUGGAGAACCACCAGAACCAACUUGCAAUCAACCUCCUUGACAACAGCCUACAGCGCAGAAGACUCCGAAGAAACCACCCUUUUGACCUACCUUUCCGGAUUCCCUAAAGGAAUCCUCUGAUGACCCUAGCUAACAAAUAUAAGAUUUCCUAGGGAAUCUACAUAACCGCCAACGUACCGCAAAAUUUAAUUGAUUGCCCUCCUGGGAAGAUGUAAAUAAAGAUACUGUAAUACUAAAAAAAAAAAAAAUAUGACACCGCCGCACAGGUAGCUGCCAGGAGGCGACUGUCCUCCUGCCAUAGACUUAUCCUGCUUGGAUGUCUAUCGGUAUGCCGAACAGUGUCCACCUCGGCACUGCAGGUUCUUGCUGAAGCCCCCCCCGCUUGACUUGGCCGCUAAGAAAUUAGCGGUCAAAUACAAGCUGAAGCCUAGAUACCCGCUGGAGGAGAACGACUGGCUCUAUGGCGAGGAUAUUGCGCGCUAAGCCAGGAGCAAAAAGAGAUUCGCGUAGAGGCAAAGCAAAUGGGAUGACGACAGCGAACCUGGACGGGUGACGCACAGGUUCAUCCCGGAUGUCACCCUUGUCUAUCGGGAUCCAAAUUUUGGUUUCUCGAUGAUGGCGUCUUUCUUGCUCACAGGGCACGGGUCGUUCAACGCAUUUCUGCAUGGCAGAGCCCUCAGCGAUACCACUGCUUGUGCAUGUGGUGAUCCAUACGAGGAUUGGGUGCACGUGUUGUGCGCCUGCCCCCUAUAUGCAGAUUUGCGAGACCUCGAUGGACUUGGAGUGCAGCGCGUUGGCAAGGACUGGAUAUUUGAAAGAAUCCUGGAGGAUCGGGAGAGAACCCAACGGCUGGCUGUGUUCGCUGAGUUGUCGUUCCGCAGAAGAAUGGGCACUUAGCCUGACGCUUCGCCGUGUGGUUAGCGGUCGAGAAUACUGUCACAGCUUGCCGCAGCUUGUCGUAGGAGGCGACUAAUGCGGCAAUAGGUCACUCCGCCCGUGCCAUUAUACGGAUAUAUCUAUUAUAUCUUAUGGUAUUGGGUUUUGAUGCAAGCUUCUUGAUCAAAGUAUCACGAGUUUGUUAUAAUAUAUAAUCGCAAACAAAUUCUUUAAUAAAACGAUGCAUUUAUGUAUUUUUGAUUUGAAAAUUUUGUAUAUUUCCAAUUACUCAGGUAUGAUCCAAUUCAAGGACAUUGCCAGGUAGGGAGUUUGACUGGGGCGGUACAUCUCUCAAAUAAUAACGGAGGUGUUCCAAGGCCAGCUCAGUGCGGACAGAAACCACACAUAAAGCAAAAGGGCAAAUGCUGACUUGAUCUCGGUGUUCAGUACACACAGGGACAGCAAAAGCUCGGCCUAUCGAUCCUUUUUGUUUAAAGAGUUUUUAAGAAGAGGUGUCAGAAAAGUUAUCAUAGGGAUAACUGGCUUGUGGCGGCCAAGCUUUUAUAGUGAUCAUUGUGAAACAAAAUUCACCAAGCGUUGGAUUGUUUACCCAUGCAAGGGAACGUGAACUGGGUUUAGACCGUCGUGAGCCAGGUUAGUAUUACCCUACUAAUGACAAAACGUUGUUGCGACAGCAUUCCUGCGUAGUACGAGAGGAACCGCAGGUACGGACCAAUGGCUCAAUACUUGUUCGAGCGAACAGUGGUAUGACGCUACGUCCGUUGGAUUAUGCCUGAACGCCUCUAAGGUGGUAUCCGUGCUGGACUGCAAUGACAAAUAAGGGGCAAUUUGCAUUGUAUGGCUUCUAAACCAUUUAAAGUUUACAAUUUACUUUAUAAACGGCAAUGGAUGUAAUGCCAAUGUAAUUAUAACAUAGUAAAUUGGGAGGAUCUUCGAUCACCUGAUGCCGCGCUAGUUACAUAUAAAAGCAUUAUUU